rnacentral:lncRNA from 1 species
UCUCUUAGCGAAUUGUUUGGAUUCUUUGCAUGGGGUGAGGCCUGAGAUAUCAGCUGAAGCAGGAAGUGGUGCAGAUAGGAGGAUGGUGGAGAGAGCUAAGGCUGCAGAAAAGGCCUUCAACUGUGACUCUGAAGAAGAAGUGUUGGUGGUUGGAGUGGUGGUGCUGCAGUGGAUGGUGGUGGUGAGUCUUGGUUUGAGGGUGGUGCCAGCAAUGAGUUUGGGGUUGAGAGUGGUGGGUUUGGAGAGGUUAGUGGGAAUAGUGAGAGACAUUGUUUGAUAUGAUUUGUGUGAAGGAAGAUGAAGAUGAAAAUGAAGAUAAUGAGAAGAGAAGAAUGGGAGUG